ACAGGGGUCAGUGGUGGAAGUGAGACCGAAAUAGACUCUGAAGUAAUAUCUGGACUUUGAAAUUGCAGCUGCUCCCAACCCCAGAACCUUUGCUGUCUUGGGACGGAUCACCGCUGCAAGAGGGGAAGUUGCUACUGUGAUGAAUUCUGCCAUGUGGCACCAGACUGCCACCCAGACCACAGUGUCCUCUGCAACCCUGCUUCUCAGAUGACCAAGAUGGUGCUGCAGAUGGUGCUGAGGAUGGAGAACCCACCAAGCCCCGCUAGGAGCCACCUAGACUGGAUGCAGAGCAUGGUUCAGUGAGUUCUCCAAACCAGCCUCCCAGGAAUGCCAUUCAACAUGGCUGUGAGGAGAAUAAAGAAGAGAGCCUGACUCCUCUCCUGAGGCCCCUUCCCCACCCUGAGCCAGCAGGAUCCACGGAGCAGAGGUCAUCUGUCCCCAGCUUGGCCCACUGAGGCCAGCAUGGCUGGGCCCAGGAUGCUUGUCUCUCAGCUCCCAUCCUGUGUACUUCCACAUUGGUUUAACCAGAGGAAAACCGAAAUCUACAAUUGUCAUAAACACAUUUAAAUGUGCGUAGAAUCAGCCAUACAAAUUGUGAAACAUA
rnacentral:lncRNA from 10 species